GAUGAACGCUGGCGGCGUGCCUAAUACAUGCAAGUCGAGCGAAGAGGGGACGAGUGAGUAACAUGUGGAUAACCCCUUAUAUUACUGGGAUCACUUCUGGAAACCUUAGCCAAACCGGAUCCUCAUAGAUGGAUCCGCGCUGCAUUAGCUAGUUGGUAAGGUAACGGCUUACCAAGGCAACGAUGCAUAGCCGACCUGAGAGGGUGAUCGGCCACACUGGAACGGAGACACGGUCCAGACUCCUGCGGGAGGCAGCAGUAGGGAAUCUGCCGCAAGGGAAGAAAGCCUGACGCAGCAACGCCGCGUGAGUGAUAAGGGACUUGGGGUCGGAAAACGCUGGUAUAGGGGGAGCGGUACCGAGUCAGAAAGCCACGACUAACUACGUGCCAGCAGCCGCGGUAAUAC
rnacentral:rRNA from 1 species